rnacentral:sRNA from 1 species
UACUAUUUGAAAUUCUACAGAUGGAGACUCUCAAAGGGUACUUUUCCCUUUAACUUUCUCUCUUUGUUUCUAAUUUUGUUUUUUAGUAGUUUUAAUUGUUCAGGGUUUGACUCAAACCGUUUGAGAGCUUGGUGUUUACUUGCAACCACAUUCUUGGAUUCUCUAACACAAGGUUGUAAGGCUGAAUAUCGUGUGAAUCAGAUAAGGAAUAACUAUUUUAACUUAUCUUGAAUCAAUAUACAAUUAUAUUAAUCGAAAUAAGCUAGAGAAAGGUUUAUUUGUCUGUGGUAUAAGCAGUGGCAUAAGUUGCUGGAAGAACUUGCACGAUAGAGUAAAACAAGAAUAUCAACUAGCCACGAACUCCUACUUCUUAAAGCACCGCAAUCCGUAGCUGUGAAAAAAUGUGAGAGAUCAAGUUCUAGAGAAAAACCAAAAGCUAAGCAAGAUUCAGAUUUGUGGAAGUAAAGCUUUUGCAUGAUAAUUCAAUAAAAUCAUAUUCAGAUCUAUCGCAAUGGAGCAUUAAAAUGGUCGUGCGUCAUAUUUGCCCAUUCGAGUCCAAAGUCAAGAUCUAUUUAGAGCAAUCAAAAUACACAUUUUGAAAAGAAGUCUUCUUUCAUCCUUGCACGGUGAAGAACAAAGACUCUGCUUCCCUUUCCAGGAUUCUUAUUCGUUUGGUUGUUGAAAGAUACCAAGAACUCUCAUCAAAACUAGAGUACAAUUUUCCAUUGAAGUAGCAAGAGUAGAUCUAUGGAGGUGCUUUCCAGGAUUUUGAAGUAACGUGAAGCUGAAUAUUGAAAAUAUGCAAAGACAAAAAGGCUCGAGCGGGAAUCAGGGAGGUUCACUUCCAUUGACUUACAUCGACAGCAGAAGGCAGUAGUCAAGGUGCUCUCCUGAUUAGGUGGUGCUAGAGAAAACGAAGGAAAGCCUAGGUGCAUGGUGCAACAUAUGGUAAUUUGUUGGAUUGUUGCCCCCAAGACAUGAAAGUACUGAAACCAUUGGAAGGGCUUUGACUCUCGGUGUUAACAUCAAGAUGAUCACUGAUAACCAGUUGUAAACUUGGAAUGGGAAUAAACAUGUAUCCAUCUUCGGCUUUUCUUGGUUGUAAGUUUUGUCACGUAAGAGACAUGGAGAACAUACCUGGCAGAGAAUCAAGUGAAUUCCUCCAAAGAACUGAUCAGAUUAGAAAGAGCUAGUGUCUUGCGGCUGAAUAGAAUGGGAGAUAUGUAAAGGAAGGAACAAAUACUUUUGACAAACUAUUUAGGCCAUCGUCAAAGAUUUUGCAACAUACACAUCCAUUAAUUAGUAUUCAGUAGACAGUGGAAAGAAGUGUCUAAAGGAAACUUGAACCCAGAUGUCUGCAUAGAGGUAAAUCCACAUAAGAUCUCACACCCUCGGCCAAGUUCACAUCACACAUUAGAAUUAUAGAACCUUGACGUGUCUUUAUUCGGUGGAGCAUGGAAUUCUUCUCAUUGUAGAUCGCUGCUUGACAUUGUUUGACAAUCCACUGGUCGACUCUCUUCACACAACUUACAAUGAGCUCAAGGUAGGUUAAUGAACUCGAGCUAUGAUUGUUAUCAGCUUCUUGCAUAUCCACAUAUACAUCAAUAAAUUCCUUCAUUCGUUGAACAUAUGUAGUUACAGAAAGAAUGCAAGAACCAGACUUAAAAAUGGGUGUGUUCGGCAUUCUAAAUCAAUGUCACAAAGGAGACAAGCGGUAAGAACCACCAAACCCCAUUGACGAAGAUGGUCUCCUGGAAGAUUUGGCACGUAAGAGACGUAGAGAACAUACUUGUUGGAGCAUCAAAUGAUUUCCUCCAAAGAAAUUGAUUAGAUUGGGAAGACUAGUGUCUCGCGGCUGAAUAGGUAAGCAUGCUUGGAGCAUAACGGCUAGCGGCAAUGUCCAACUGCCAUUAGGAACAACCUGAAAAUCUACAUCGACCUCUUUGAUAGCGUGAUAUAGUCAUGUGUGCAUGCAUACAUUCAUAUGUGCAUACAUUCAUACAUCCAUACAUUCAUGCAUACAUUCAUACAUUCAUACAUUCAUACAUUCAUACAUCCAUACAUGCAUGCAUACAUUCAUACAUGCAUACAUUCAUAC